AUCCUCAAAGAACUUACAGUCUAGAAUGAGAGGCAGACACAGAAAUAGAAAAUUUCAAGAUCAAAGAAUAAGGACUGAGAACAAUUCCAGAUAUUUGGACAUGAUCUUGAUGAGCCUUCACCUUGCUUUUCUCCUGGAGAAUAUGGGGAAACUGAGGUUUAGCAACACUCAGUGUAACUUGCUGAAGAUGACAGAUCUG